GGCACUAAUCAGAUCUAAGACUAAUAAUAAGCAUCCUGAGUAAUGAGUGGCCUGGGCCGGAGCAGGCGAGGUGGCCGGAGCCGUGUGGACCAGGAGGAGCGGUGGUCACUCAGCUGCCGCAAGGAGCAAGGCAAGUUCUAUGACCAUCUCCUGAGGGACUGCAUCAGCUGUGCCUCCAUCUGUGGACAGCACCCUAAGCAAUGUGCAUACUUCUGUGAGAACAAGCUCAGGAGCCCAGUGAACCUUCCACCGGAGCUCAGGAGACAGCGGAGUGGAGAAGUUGAAAACAAUUCAGACAACUUGGGAAGGUACCAAGGAUCGGAGCACAGAGGCUCAGAAGCAAGUCCAG
rnacentral:sRNA from 1 species